CCUACGGGAGGCAGCAGUGGGGGAUAUUGCACAAUGGGGGAAACCCUGAUGCAGCGACGCCGCGUGGGCGAAGAAGUAUUUCGGUAUGUAAAGCCCUAUCAGCAGGGAAGAAGAAAUGACGGUACCUGAGUAAGAAGCACCGUCUAAAUACGUGCCAGCAGCCGCGGUAAUACGUAGGGUGCAAGCGUUAUCCGGAUUUACUGGGUGGAAAGGGAGCGCAGGCGGCACGGCAAGCCUGAUGUGAAAGCCCGCGGCCCAACCGCGGGACUGCAUUGGGAACUACCGGGCUGGAGUGCCGGAGAGGUAGGCGGAAUUCCUGGUGUAGCGGUGAAAUGCGUAGAUAUUAGGAGGAACACCAGUGGCGAAGGCGGCCUACUGGACGGUGACUGACGCUGAGGCUCGAAAGCGUGGGGAGCAAACAGGAUUAGAUACCCGAGUAGUC
rnacentral:rRNA from 1 species